UACAGAGGGUGCGAGCGUUAAUCGGAAUUACUGGGCGUAAAGCGCACGUAGGCGGCUUGGUAUGUCGGGUGUGAAAUCCCCGGGCUCAACCUGGGAACUGCAUCCGAAACUGCCUUGCUAGAGUAUGGGAGAGGGAAGUGGAAUUUCCGGUGUAGCGGUGAAAUGCGUAGAUAUCGGGAGGAACACCAGUGGCGAAGGCGGCGACCUGGGCCAAUAUUGACGCUGAGGUGCGAAAGCGUGGGGAGCAAACAGG
rnacentral:rRNA from 1 species